rnacentral:misc_RNA from 1 species
CACAUAGAAUUAAAUUCUCUAGCCUAAGGUCAUUCUCCUCUGAGAAGUAAGUUUCUAUUGUACUUGUUAGCAAGCAUAUAAGGUCAUAAUGAUUGUGAAGGAAUGUAAAACCAACCAUAUAUGGGUAAUAUCUGGGUAUGAGAAGUCAAGGGUUGCAUGAGGCAAGGUGAACGAUAAAAUGGAGCUCGGUAUAAGAGUGAAACUUUACAUAUGCUGCGUUGGAUUUCUCUCAAUAAUUAUAUACAUAACUAAAGAAUAUGGACUCAGUGCAUGGAGUACCCUCCCAUUACUUGUUCCUGCUGUAUGUGCUGCCGCAUGUGUGGAUAUGCUCUGCAAAGACCCAUCACCCAGUCAUACAAUGGGAUCAGUCAUGAGGCAGUAUAUUUUUGAGCGUAUCCUACGAGGGGUUGUACCUUUCUUUUAUUCAUCAAUCAUCAAUGCUGACCCGAGAAAAGUGCAAGAGGAGAUCCUCAUGAAGUUAAUUGACACAAAUAAAAACACACAAUAUGGCAAAGAUCAUAAUUUCUCCAGUAUGAAAACACCGGAAGAUUUCAUAAGAAUGCAUCCGGUGACCAAAUACGAUCACUUUGAAUCAUAUUUUGAUCGCGUCAUCGAAGGAGAAGAUAAUGUCAUAGUGGCUAAUUCAAAAGCUGAUUAUAUUGUACUGUCUUCGGGGACAACGGGGAAUAAUAAGAAAUACCCCGUAUCAUUCACUGGUGGACAUCGCAUAGGACUUCCAAUCGCAAUUCGAGAUUUAUUUACAGUUUAUCUCUCUAUGAGGAGAAAGUAUGUACCCAAGUUGACACUUCAUAGAUCCUUGGAUGUGACUAUUAUGAAUGAGCCAAUCAUAACCAAAAAAGGGAUACCAAUGGGAGGGGUUGUGGGUCGAGCAAAGUUCCUCCUUCCAGGCUCAGCUGCACCCAAUUGCAUCCUUGAAGUAUUAACGCAAGAUGAGGCAUUAUACUUGUACGCCUUAUAUGGACUCAGGGAAUCAAAGCUAAACAAUAUUGUUCUUGGGUUAGCGACAAUCGCCUUAAGGUUUUUCCAAACCAUUGAGGC